GACGAACGCUGGCGGCGUGCCUAAUACAUGCAAGUCGAGCGGACUUGACAGAGCUUGCUCUGUUCAAGUUAGCGGCGGACGGGUGAGUAACACGUGGGCAACCUGCCCUGCAGAUUGGGAUAACUCCGGGAAACCGGGGCUAAUACCGAAUAAUAUGGAAAACCUCAUGGUUUUCUUUUAAAAGGCGGCGUCUAGCUGUCACUGCAGGAUGGGCCCGGGGCGCAUUAGCUAGUUGGUGAGGUAACGGCUCACCAAGGCGACGAUGCGUAGCCGACCUGAGAGGGUGACCGGGCACACUGGGACUGAGACACGGCCAAGACUCCUACGGGAGGCAGCAGUAGGGAAUCUUCCACAAUGGGCGCAAGCCUGAUGGAGCAACGCCGCGUGAAUGAUGAAGGCCGUCGGGUUGUAAAAUUCUGUCUUCUGUGAAGAACAAGUGUGAGAAGAAAAUGCUCACACCCUGACGGUAACAGAGGAGGAAGCCCCGGCUAACUACGUGCCAGCAGCCGCCGUAACAC
rnacentral:rRNA from 1 species